UACAGAGGGUGCGAGCGUUAAUCGGAAUUACUGGGCGUAAAGCGCGCGUAGGCGGCUUUUCAAGUCGAUUGUGAAAUCCCCGGGCUUAACCUGGGAACUGCAGUCGAGACUGUCUAGCUAGAGUAUGGGAGAGGGAAGUGGAAUUUCAGGUGUAGCGGUGAAAUGCGUAGAUAUCUGAAGGAACAUCAGUGGCGAAAGCGACUUCCUGGACCAAUACUGACGCUCAUGUGCGAAAGCGUGGGGGGGCAAACAGG
rnacentral:rRNA from 1 species